rnacentral:rRNA from 1 species
GACAGAGGUGCCAAGCGUUAGGCGGAAUCACUGGGCUUAAAGCGUGUGUAGGCGGAUGCCUAAGUACCUUGUGAAAUCCCACGGCUCAACCGUGGAACUGCUGGGUAUACUGGGUGUCUUGGGUCAGCUAGGGGUUGCCGGAACAAAUGGUGGAGCGGUGAAAUGCGUAGAUAUCAGGAGGAACACCGAUGGCGAAGGCAGGUCUCUGGGCCACUACUGACGCUGAGAAGCGAAAGCAUGGGGAGCGAAACAGG